UCGAACUGUCGCCCUUCUAAAUAUAAUUCUUUGCGGCAUGAACAUCUGGUGUAGGAGGAGGGCUAGAUCAUUCUCUUUGGGCCUUGCAUCUUUUUCUAACGGUUCAUAAGCUUGUAUGUAUAAGAUUUUUUAGGGUUGUUUCAUUUGAUCACAUGAGUAAUUUUUCUACUUAAAUGUUGUACAUGUAGUACUUUGUUUCUCUUGAUGGAUGUUUAUUUGUGUGAUUAAACCAUAGAUUUGUAACCAAUAAAAACCAUCACAAAGAUCCGAGGAACAUGAUUAAUAUGGAAGCGGUUAGUUCAACUUGAAGCAUUAUGAUCUUCUUGAAUUUUGAUACGAACUCAGGCCCAACUCCUCUUCAGAUUAGAAAUCCACUAUUUGACCCAGGGCCCGGUUAACUAUAAUUUUGGAGGUGGUCUACAAAAUCACAAGUAGUGGGUUCCCAUUGUUCCCUUAGUUUUUUUUUUAAAGCUGUGGAUUACUCGCGAAUGUCAGGAGGUCUAGCAUACGUUGUCUUAACCGGUCUGCGCUAGAGAGUCCCCUCGCACAAUAGAUCCUGAUCGGAGUGUCGCGCUCCGAUCAAAGAUAAUAUUUAUAACCCUGUUUACCCUUAACAAUUAGCUAGCGGUAGUAAGGGGUCGAACCACGAAG
rnacentral:lncRNA from 1 species